GGGUAGCUCAGUCGGUAGAGCAUGAGUCUCUGAAGCUCAGGGUUGUGGGUUUGAUCCCCAUGUUGGGCA